CGUUACUGCUAAUACCGCAUAAUGUGCCGGGAGGGGCAUCUUCCUGGUACCAAAGAUUUAUCGCUCUAAGAUGGGCUCGCGUCUGAUUAGAUUGUUGGUGGGGUAACGGGCCUACCAAGUCGACGAUCAGUAGCCGGACUGAGAGGUUGAGCGGCCACAUUGGGACUGAGAUACGGCCCAGACUCCUACGGGAGGCAGCAUG
rnacentral:rRNA from 1 species